UGGGGAAUCUUGCGCAAUGGGCGAAAGCCUGACGCAGCGACGCCGCGUGAGUGAUGAAGGCCUUCGGGUUGUAAAGCUCUGUGGGGAGAGAAGAAUAAGUGCGGGCUAAUACCCCGCAUGAUGACGGUAUCUCCUUAGCAAGCACCGGCUAACUCUGUGCCAGCAGCCGCGGUAAGACAGAGGGUGCAAACGUUGUUCGGAAUUACUGGGCGUAAAGCGAGUGUAGGCGGUUUGGUAAGUCGGAUGUGAAAGCCCCGGGCUCAACCCGGGAAGUGCAUUCGAUACUGCCAAGCUAGAGUAUCGGAGAGGUUGGUGGAAUUCUCGGUGUAGAGGUGAAAUUCGUAGAUAUCGAGAGGAACACCGGUGGCGAAGGCGGCCAACUGGACGAAUACUGACGCUGAGACUCGAAAGCGUGGGGAGCAAACAGGAUUAGAUACCCUAGUAGUCCCUGAGCGGGCUGGCAAGGCGCAU
rnacentral:rRNA from 1 species